CGCCGAGUGACUGAAAGCAAGUGUUGGUCUCUUAAAUCAAAUUAUAGUAAACUAGCAUUUACUCUCGACG
rnacentral:tRNA from 1 species